rnacentral:rRNA from 1 species
GAUGAACGCUGGCGGCGUGCUUAACACAUGCAAGUCGAACGAAGCACUUGAAACAGAUUCUUCGGAUGAAGUUUCCUGUGACUGAGUGGCGGACGGGUGAGUAUCGCGUGGGUAACCUGCCUCAUACAGGGGGAUAACAGUUAGAAAUGGCUGCUAAUACCGCAUAAGCGCACGGCAUCGCAUGAUGCAGUGUGAAAAACUCCGGUGGUAUGAGAUGGACCCGCGUUGGAUUAGCUAGUUGGCAGGGUAACGGCCUACCAAGGCGACGAUCCAUAGCCGGCCUGAGAGGGUGGACGGCCACAUUGGGACUGAGACACGGCCCAGACGCCUACGGGAGGCAGCAGUGGGGAAUAUUGCACAAUGGGGGAAACCCUGAUGCAGCGACGCCGCGUGAGCGAAGAAGUAUUUCGGUAUGUAAAGCUCUAUCAGCAGGGAAGAAAAUGACGGUACCUGACUAAGAAGCCCCGGCUAACUACGUGCCAGCCGCCGCAGUAACAC